ensembl:lncRNA
UGAGCACAUGAGCAACUGAGACAAAUGCAAAUUAAGAAGCAUGUCUUCCACAGGUGUAAAACCACUAUGUAUGACAAUAUCCUUUUCAGUAGUUAGGCUCCAGUAGUUCUUACUGUAAUUUAUAACCCUGAAGCUUCCAGAAGUCAGUCCCCAGGACAGUUUACAUGUAGUUACACUCUAGUUUUUGUAUGUAUUGUGUAUAUUCAGUGAACAGAGCUCAGUGGGACCCCGUUUUACUCAUCUGGGGUUUUUUUUGUGUGCGUGUUUGCUGUCUCUAUACUAAAAGAACUUUAAUUUUGGGAGUGGAGCUUGGAAUACUCAGAGGACAGAUUUGAAGAAACACUGAAAAGCAGAAGUGCUCACUUCCUAAAGGCAGGAACAAGAAUAAGUUCAUUAGUUCUAAGGCUGAGAAGGUGUUGCGGACUGCAAAUGGCACCCAACUCUUUUUAAGGCACCCAGAAGAUUCAGUGUGGCACUACCUGGAGCUCUAAGAAGACAACAGUAUGUGCUGUCUGUAAGAAAGCAGCAGGAAGGUGUUGCACGAAUUUGAUGGAGGACAUGUUUUCAAAGAUCAGAGACAGCAACUAUAUUUUGGAAGCUGUGCAGCAGAUUCACCAGAUCUACAGAUGGGAACAUACUGCCAGAACAGUCUCCCAUUUUGACAUCCAUUUCCUGUGCUCCAGUGUUGUGGGAGAGUCUUGGCAAGGGAGAGGCCUCUGCCACGAGUCAGGUUUCCAAUCUCUGAAUGCUACGCAAGACCUCUGGGAGGAAAUAUCUACAUCCAGGGGCAACUUCUCUGCCUGCUUGCCACCACAGCUAGUAUCAACAUCCCCUUGUGCUGGUGCUUGCGAGUCCAGCCCAGCCAGCUGCAAACUAUUUGCCAUGCUUCCUGGAGCACAGUUUGGGGAGCCUCUGCAAGA